GAUGAACGCUGGCGGCGUGCCUAAUACAUGCAAGUCGAGCGAACAGAUCAGGAGCUUGCUCCUCUGACGUUAGCGGCGGACGGGAGAGUCACACGUGGAUAACCUACCUAUAAGACUGGGAUAAUUUCGGGAAACCGGAGCUAAUACCGGAUAAUAUAUUGAACCACAUUGUUCAAUAGUAAAAUACGGUUUUUCUGGCACUAAUAGCUGGAUCCGCGCCGCAUGAGCUAGUUGGUAAGGUAACGGCUUACCAAGGCUACGAUGCGUAGCCGACCUGAGCGGGUGAUCGGCCACACGGGAAGUGAGACACGGCCGAGACUCCUACGGGAGGCAGCAGUAGGGAAUCUUACGCAAUGGGGGAAAGCCUGACGGAGCAACGCCGCGUGAGUGAUGAAGGUCUUCGGAUCGGAAAGCUCUGUUAGUAGGGAAGAACAAAUGUGUAAGUAACUGUGCACGUCUUGACGGUACCUGAUCAGAAAGCCACGGCUAACUACGUG
rnacentral:rRNA from 1 species